CAAUUCCUUUCUCCUCCCCUGUACCUCACACUGAGCCACUUCCACGCCCCCCAGCCCAGUCCCUUGGGCUCUCCACUGACCCCAGUUCAGUGUCUUUGGGUCUCCCCCCACCCUAAACACAUCUCCUCGGAGGCCCUGAGUUCCCACCCCAUUGUUCCCACCCUGCUCCCUGCACCCGUGUCCCCCCACAGCCCCACAAAGUCCAAUCCUGACCAAACCUUUGCUCUCCUUUCCCAGGCGCUGCUGGAAGGAACCCAGGAUGAUCUGCGGGAGAUUGAUUUAGACAAUGUCGCCAUCCUGGAGACGCCUCUGCCCCCAGUUGUUGAAAGGCUGGAGGCUGCUCUGCGACAGAAGCA